rnacentral:rRNA from 1 species
UGGGGAAUAUUGCACAAUGGGCGCAAGCCUGAUGCAGCCAUGCCGCGUGUGUGAAGAAGGCCUUCGGGUUGUAAAGCACUUUCAGCGAGGAGGAAGGGUAGUGUGUUAAUAGCACAUUGCAUUGACGUUACUCGCAGAAGAAGCACCGGCUAACUCCGUGCCAGCAGCCGCGGUAAUACGGAGGGUGCAAGCGUUAAUCGGAAUUACUGGGCGUAAAGCGCACGCAGGCGGUUUGUUAAGUCAGAUGUGAAAUCCCCGCGCUUAACGUGGAACUGCA